ensembl:lncRNA
CCAGCCCAGGCCUGCGGGGUCCGUCAUGGAGCCUGAGGCCACAGCUGUCCCCACUGUGAUCUUCAAUGAUUACACAACGAGUAGUUGUCAACGCCAUGUUUAACUCACUAACCAACAACAGACCAUGUCCCCUGAACACCUGUACUCAAGAGAUCCAGUAAAUUCCAAGCAGAAGGACUGAAAAUGCAACACAGUGAGUGGCCCCGUGGCUCAGAAGGUGGGGUCCAGGCCCACCCACCUGGGGCCGGCGCCGCGUGUCCAGUGGCUGUGCAGGGAUGCGGCCCACAGCUCAGAGGCUGACCCACGGAGGGUUGUUGCCUUUAGAGGGCGGCAGAGCUAUGGCCUGCAUGUGGGAGAGCUGGGGGGCAGGGACCACGUCUUGUGGGGUUCUUGAGCUUAAAGGUUGUGGAGAGGAGCUGCAGGCGGAGGCGACCGAGGAGAGAUGGCGCUGUGGGACCCCGAGCCACUCCAGCUGUGGCAGCAGCAGCAGCAGCAUCCCAUUCUGCCCCGCGGCAGUAAGUUUAAAGUGCAGUCCUUCAGAAAAGGCUUGAAUUGGGCAUACAUCAUCAUCUCCGUAGAUGGCCUGCUCACAGUGAGCGUCGUCUCAAGGUUUAGAAGGGGACGCUGUGGCUGUUUCCACCCUGGCUGCCCCUUUUCGCACAGGUUGUUCCCUUGGGGGCUGCGGGGGUGGGUGUGUGCGUGUGUGUAUGUGCUCGUGUGCGGGUUGUGUGACCUUGGAGGUAACUUCAUUGCUCUAAGCCUGGGCGUCUUCAUCUGUUGGGGGCAGGGUGACGAGCUCUGCCUUGCUGGGCUCUGGUAGCUUAGCAUAUGGCUGGAUGGGAAGUGUCUGCAUUUUUCUGGGUGUUGGGCUGGAGUCUGGGAGACAGGCCAUGGCGUGUGUGCGUGACUGUCCUGGUGGCCUGGGAUGGUGGAAGGAUGACAAGGGUGGAGUCCUUUGCAUGUGCUGGAUCUGGAGAAACAGGAAGCAACGCUGUCAGAAGUAGGUGAGGUGUCACAGCCUGGCUCCUCUCUGCUGCCCUUGUGCCCUGAGUGUCACCUGCACUGAGACUUGGAAACUUGCCAGAAGCCACAGUCCAGAGUGGUGACCAGAGCCCCCCGGCUGGUGCCUCAGUGGAUCUGACUGGUGACAGCUGUACACAACGUUAAAGAAGGGCUGACUGUUUCACCCUCCUCACCCCAAAAGCAUCUGGAGGAGAACCAGCUGUGCAUUCUCCCGUGACUCCAGGCUUGGCAGUACGCCCGGGCACCUGCCCUUGCCCCCAGGAACCCUGCCCUUAAAGAUGAGUGUUCGGGUAAGAUGGGUGGAGCUUUCUGAACAGAGGAGGCCCAGAUGCUAUCUCAGGGCGUUCUGUUCCUCCGUGCACCCGGAACUGCCUCACCCUUCCUGCUCCUCCCGCUGCCCCCUUCUAGCCCCUCGUGGCCGUGAUGGCCGUAGGAGACCCUGUGCAUGUACCCGCCCAUCCCAUACCUGUUCUGUGUGCCCCUCCCUCCCAGCUUUGUUGUGCUUCUAUGACCUGCACCUCCCAUGCUUUGUCAGAGAACCGUCCCCACCUGCAGGUGCAGGGAGCUGACAGUACUCGGGGUGGGGGCAGUGACUGGGCAGGAAGCCAGGACGGCUCUGGGCAAGACUCCACCCUCCAGAGUCCCCACGGAAUCCUCCUGGCUGUCCCCUUCCCGGUUCUGUUUCCUCAUUCCCUGGGGGUAGAUCCUUAUCAUGUACACAGGGAUGGCCUUCUCGGGGUCUGUGCCUGAACCCUGAAUCCUGAAUCCUGGAGUGUCUGUGGUCCUGGGACCCAGAGACUAAGGAUGUGAUUCUCAGCUGACCAGACGGCGACAAGUGCCCCUCCCUGGAGAUGGAAUGGGGAUGCAAGCUCUGGGUCCCUGGAAUGCCUUGGUGAUCCCACGUGGACGGCAGUCUGAUCGCAUAUUUGAUUUCCGUUCUCCCCUGAAAAUCCCCGGUCACCAGCACUUUCCUUGUGGGUGUGCAGGUAAUGCAAAGCUAUUUCUUGUUUCUCUGCAUCAACUUGAGGAUCACUAUUCACUAAAAAGAAAUUUGUUUGCCUUAUUAAUGUUGCUAAAUGGUUUUUCAGUGAUCUCAAGGCGAUGUUUAUAUGUGAGAAUGGUUUUCUUUUUAUUGUUGCUGCAUUCUGAAAGAACGCAUCUCUAUCCUUUCGGGAUUGCUGAAGGAAAGAAGAGCCCUGUCUGCUUAUCUGAGGGGGUCGGGGCGCUGGAGGGAACUCUGUGGGUGCAGAGACAUGCUGAUGUCACCUGGGGAGAGGACAGGGCACAGGCGGUGUGACUGCAGGGUCGGUUCAGUGAGAACCAGAGCCUUUUUGUGACCCUCCUUUAUAACGGCUGGCUAUGCAAAGUUACUUGGUUAAAUUGAGCAUUAUUACUAAAGACAGCAAAAUCCAAGCCCUUAUUUGAGUCCUAAAUUUGUCAGUUAGUAGCCACGUGACUGGUCACCUCAUCUCUCUGAGCCCCACUGUUCUUAUUUCCCGUCAUGAUAAAGAUGGUGAUGACACUGGUGAUAGGAUGGUGAUACCUUGCCUCGUGUCACAUCUCUGGAAAUGAGUGAAGACUAUCCAGAUGAGGAAAGCAAAGUCACCAGGAAAGCUCUAACCUUCUGGGCAAAGACCUCUCCUGGACCCUCCUUCUUAUUCCGCUCCUGGCCUGGCCAUCUUUUGCUUCUGGGAGGGCAGUUCUCAACCUAGCACUGCUGGUGCUCAUUGACUGGCUUGUGAACAGCGCCUUCACUGGACACCCCAGAUCAACAUGCAGGUCCGAUGCCUGGGGGCCCACAUGGAAACGAGACUUGACAGUUCACACCGUGGAACUGUGUGCAUGGAGAGGAAGAAAAGGUGCCCAGGAUUCAGUGGGUUGACAUUUGCUGCUCGCGUAUUCUGAGAAUCUCCCCUGAGAAUAAAUCUAUUGCUUAUUAAAAAAAUAAAUUAUAAAGACUUCCUGGUAAAGAUGGUGUCAUGGACCCAGAUCUUAGAAUCUCCCUUCCCCAAUUCCUGAUGAGACUAAUAAAUAGUAGAAAAAAUUAGCAAAACAUUUUCCACUCUCAAAGACAGAGUUAUAAAUUCACACCACAGCAUUUGAGAACGGCAGCCAAGGAAAGCGGUAGAAGAUUCUCGUGCAGCAUCUAACUCCUUCACAGCUCCCCGGAGACUAUACUGGAAAACAAGAGUCAACAAAGUCCUAAUAGUUCUCACUUGAAUUCCCUAAUGUUGGGAGAGGUGGACAGACGGUGGGUGUACAGCCUGGAGAGAAGUUUCAAGAAAUCCUCAAAUUGGAGGCUCUUGCCAACCACGGUGCAAUCUCAAGGUCUAAGCAGAGGCAAGAAAAUUACCAAGUUUGACAUUUUCUAGGACUCCACGCUGAGUUAAGGAAAUGCCCAAACCAGUAUCCUGCCAAGCGGGCUGACACUCCCCUGAGUAACUGUGUGACAUUUAGCGCAAUCUCAGAAAAGACAGCAGAACCCGGGAAAUCCAAUACAGCCUCACAGAGCAAGAAGAAAGGGAAAUUUUAGAGACCUAAUAUCAAGUGAGUGCAAAAAUCAGCCCCUUUAUAGAACUAGAAAAUGAACUAGAAACAGAAUAUACACAGCUAAAAUUUAAUCAACUCUUCUGGAGGAAAGUCUUGAAAUAAUCGUUGUGAACACAUAGGAGCUGUACAGAGAUAUGAAAGCAAUUAGAAAAAACAUAAAAGAUUUGAUGGGUUGACUUAGAUGAUCCAAUAUGAAUAAAAUUUAUUAAUGUUAAUUAGAAAACCAAUCAAUGAACAGAGUUUUCAAAAAUGUAAUAAAAAAAUUCCUGAAGUUAAAGGAACCUGAAGUUAAAGAUUGAAGAUGCAUAACUAUGAAGUAGUCUAGAAAAAAUUCAUUAUUAAAUGGACACAUUAUUAAGCGGGCAUGUUUUGACUGAAUUAUUGAACUUUAAGUGAAAAGAAAAAUUAUUUAGGUUUUGAGGAAGAAAAUGAAAUUCAUAUACAAGGAGAAAAAAACCAGGCUGACUACAUACUUCUUAGCAAUAUUCAAUGUGAAACGACAAUUGAGCAAUUAUCUGGCGCGAUUAAAUUGUUACCCUAAAAUGUAAAGCCAGUAAAAUUGUUAUUAAGUCUAAAGGCAAUAGGAGGCAUUCUUUAAAAUCUCAAGAAAUAUAGAGCCAGUGAAUAUUUUAUUGAAAAAAAUAGUCCAGUGAAGCAAGUCAGUUGAUCCAAAGAUGAGUGAAGAGGCUAUGCUCAGGGUCGGAGGUCACUGGUCAGUGGAGCGAUGUCCAGAAAGUUCUGAGGGAAGGCGAGUGUGACCCAGGAAUUUUACACCCAGCCAACCUUUCUUUCAAAUACUAAAGCCGUAGACAGACAUUCUCAAGUGAGCAAACUGCAGAGAAGAAACCACCCAAGAAUCUUUCCUGAAAAAAUGUGACAGUGAAAUCCAGCCAAGCAGAAGAUGAAUAAAAACAGAGUGUAGAAAUGGACAAAAGAACUGGAGGAGUAUACUGAAUCCACGGAAAUAUAGUUCUAUAUGCAGGGAUUUCGAUGAUUGAGUUGAGGGUGAAUGCUAUAAAGCAGGAGAAAACAUAAAAUUAUCAAAAAUUUACAAAGAAGUGGGAGGUGGAGAUCACAGGUGGCGUAAGUGCAAUAUUCUCAUGGCUCCGAACUCCUAAUGUUUUGUGUGUUGUAAAAAAUGUUUUCGGAAUCCAAAUGAUCUUUUCUGGUGAAUAAACACUACUCGAGGUUCAGCAUUUAAUUGUUUCAUCCCAGUUUCUUUUUUAAUUUAUUUCAAGUAAAUUAAAUUUUAAAAAUUAAAUUAAAGUAAGUAUGUGUAGGAUGAAAAAAACUCAAUUUCUUUAUCUAUAAUCUGUCUAUAUCUAUCUUUAUCUAUCCAUCCAUCUAUUCAUCUACCAAUCUAUCUAUAUCUAUUAUGUAUCUACCUAUGUAUCCAUCCAUCAUCUACGUAUCAUCUAUCUACCUUCUAGCUGAGUGCAUGCAGUAUUUCCGUUUUGUAACACUGUAUCUGUCUAGCCUUCCUCUGUGCCUAUGUGUGCAUGCAGUGACAGAGAUUGAAAUCAUGGUAACUAUCAUUGUGUAUUAGUCUGAUGGGUCUGCCAUAUCAACCUACCGCAAACUGCGUGAAUUUAACAAUAGAAUUUUUUUUCUCACAGUUUGGAGGCUGGAAAGUCCAAGGUCAAGGUUCUGGCUGA